UCGACGUCGCGCUAUACCUAUCGAACAGUCGGCGGGAAAUGUGCGUGACUUCAGAAUAUAGGUCUUGCACUUUUUAUGACUUCGUGAUAAAUUUCAAUAAAACUUUACUCGAAUACUCGGCGUUUGAACUCGCGAUUCGACUCGAUUUCAAAAACCAAAACUGUACAAUGUAAUAUACGAGAGUGAUUAAUUUUUAUUGUUGUUUUUUUAUCCAUACCGACGUUCGACGGACGCAUACUUCGCACCGCGACCGCCGUGUAUAUACGUCGCGCCUGUACAAUAAAUAUAAUUACCGCGGAAUAAAACGAAUCCGACGGAAUAAUGGAAACGACGCGGUGAAAAUCGGCUGAUAA